ACACGCUUCAGCACAUCUCUGUGUCUGCACCAUGGCCUUGACCCCACUCAUCCUCCUUGUCAUCCUUCACUGUAGAGGGUCUCUGUCCCAGCUUGUGCUGACUCAGUCACCCUCUGCAUCUGCCUCCCUCGGGGCCUCGGCCAAGCUCACCUGCUCCCUGAACAGCGAAUACAAAACCUAUGGCAUUGCAUGGUUCCAGCAGUACCCAGGGAAGGAUCCUCAGUAUGUGAUGUGGGUUAAGAGUGAUGGCACCUUCAAUAAGGGGAAUGGAAUUCCUGACCGCUUCUCAGGCUCCAGCUCUGGGACUGACCGCUACUUGACCAUCUCCAACAUCAGUCCUGAGGAUGAAGCCGACUACAUCUGUGGUGCAGAUUACAGCAUUGGUGGGUCAUCUGGUUAAGCACA